UUGUUUUUUUGUUUGAUCUCGUUUGGAAUUGGUUGUUGUUUUUUUAUCGUGGCGUAGCUGGCUGGCUUGGCUUGGCUUCACCAAAGAGGGCUUCACUGGCUUGGCUUGUGUAGUGACAGUGUGCUGUGUGUGGAAAUUGGAAAGGGCGUAGCCUCCGUGUAAACGCAAAAGUGAAAAUAAAGUUAUAUUCCCAAACAAAAGUCUACGAAAUGAUAUGAAUCGUGCUCUUUACUUUGAUAAUUAAGUUCACAGAGUACAUGAUAUAUUGAUUUAGUUGAAUGCCGGUACCUGUUCAACAAAACUUAUAAUGGGUUGUGCUCAAAGUGAAAUAUCUCCACAAAAUGAAACUCCACGUAAAAGCUGCACCGACGUUUUGUGGCUUGUGAUUUAUGUUAUUUUCUGGAUUUUAAUGAUAAUAAUUGCUGCUAUAUCAUUCGUAUAUGGAAAUCCACAACGACUAAUAAACGGUUAUGAUUCGUUUGGGAAUACGUGUGGUGUUAAGAGUAAUAAGAAGCUCUUACCCUUCCCACUAGCGGGUAUAGGUACAGCCGACAAAAGCUACCUAUUCUUUAUGGAUGUUAAAGAGUUGAGACGAUCACUAAAGAUAUGUGUGAAACAAUGUCCUAAUAAGAAGAUGGAAUCAUUCUCAGAUAUUCAAAACUUCUACAAGGAAACAGGAUCUAAUCUUUGCAGAUAUGAUAUUAAUUUAAAUGAUGUACAGAGUGCAAAGAAUUUUAAUUUUGAAGGACCUUGUCCUGCUUUGCCAGUGUAUGAUUCCUUCCCUCUGCUAAAUAGGUGCUUCCCUAAAUCGGCUAAAGAUAUAGCUCAGAAAGUGUUUGUAGACUUCUAUGAUUUGCUGAACAGUUGGGAUACAAUUGAACAGAGUUUGUCAGAUCUUUACUCUUCAUGGAAGGAAAUGAUUAUUUGUGUUAUAAUUGCAUUUAUUUGCUCACUAAUCAUGGUAUCUAUUUUACACUUGUUGGCGAGUCUUGUGUCGUGGAUUUUUAUGAUUAUUGUAUCAAUAGCCAGCGUGGCUGGAACUGCUUUACUGUGGUACACCUACCAUGAACUUAGAACUAAGCAAAGAGAUUUCUCUGACACAACUAUAUAUCUUGCUGAAUCACUGAAAAAUGAGAAAGCAUUUUUAUGGUAUUCUAUUAUUGCGACUAUAAUCACAGUAAUAUUGCUACUGCUGGUUUGGGUGAUGCGAUCGCGCGUUUCUUUCCUGGCAGCUUUAUUUAAAGAAACGGCUCACUGUCUAGGAUCUAUUCCAGCACUCUUCUUGCAGCCAAUAAUAACAUUUUUCUUUCUUAUACUGUUCUUUACGUUUUGGUCAUUAGUUGUGGUAUGCUUAGCAACAGCAAAUUAUCCUGGAAUACCAUAUAAAACAAAUUUCUUUAUUAAUGGUACACCCAUACCUGACCAUGUGGACAAUUCAGCAAUUGAAUUACAAAAAAUCAAUCAGACUGCUAACCUUAAGAGUUUUAUUCUAGAUCAUAUAGAGUUUGAUCCACUGUGGGUGAAGAGCAUGUGGUGGAUUUGCCUCAUCUGCCUGGUGUGGGGCAGCGAGUUCAUCCUGGGUUGCCAGCAAAUGACCAUCGCGGGCGCCGUAUCGCACUGGUACUUUAGGGGACCAAAUGCAAAUUCAUCACCAGUGCUGUAUUCCAUCGGAAAGCUUCUGAAAUAUCAUUUGGGUUCCGUCGCAAAAGGAUCGUUUUUGAUCACGCUGUUCAAGGUUCCAAGACUGAUACUUACUUAUUUACAUGCUAAAAUGUCCGCAAGAGCUGAGAAGGGCUCGGAUUGUGCCAAGUGUGGCUUGAAGUGUUGUAUCUGCUGUUUCUACUGCCUGGAGAAGUUCAUACGUUACUUGAACCACAACGCGUAUACCAUCAUCACGAUCGAACGGUGCCACUUCUGCAAAGCUGCGGCGAAGGCAUUCAGCACAAUAGUGAACAACGCGCUCCAAGUGGCCACGAUCAACAGCGUGGGCGACUUUAUCCUGUUCCUGGGCAAGUGCAUAGUGACCGCGGUGACGGGCAUCAUCGGCCUGCUAUUGCUGAAGCGCAACUCCGACCUGCACUUGUACGCCGUGCCCACGCUCGUCAUCUGCGUGUUCUCCUUCUUCAUCGCGCACUGCAUUCUCUCCUUGUACGAGAUGGUGGUGGACUCGCUAUUCCUGUGCGUGUGUGAAGACCGCAACAUGAACAGCGGGGACGGGAAGUGGAAGAACUCUCGCCUUGCCGAGCUCGGCGGGCACAGCGCGAGCCGCGAGCCGCGCCAGGACCGCGUCGAGCUGGAGGAGCUGCAGGAGAAGUACUGAGAGAUAUGCUUCAUACUUGAGCAUGUUUGUGGCGGCAUUUGUGGUGGUGGCGCGAGAUAAGUUUCGUUCUGUCAAGAAUAUACAGCAUUUAUUGUAAGAUUGGAUGUGUAAUUUUUACAAUCUUAUGGAGUUCAUCAUGCUUUUUAUAUCAUACUGAUUCAUGACUUCCUAUUUUUAGGGUGCUGUACCUGAGGGAUGCCAACGGGACCCUACUAUUACUAAGACUCCACUGUCAGUCUGUCCGUUAUGUACUAUGUCUGUUAGUGGGCUGUAUCUCGUGAACUG